GUUUCUCCAUGUUGGCUAGGCUGGUCUCGAACUCCUGACCUCAGGUUAUACACCCUCCUCGGCCUCCCAGCCCAGUUGGAUUUUUAAUUGCCAAGGUUUCCUCAUGACAGAUGAUGACCAUAGAGAAAGUAAAUGCUGCAGAACCAGGCUGGCACUUCAGCCCUUUAGAAAUGAGUGCUUUUGGCUUGGGAUGAGAGUGGUACCUUCUUUGCUGCAUAUCUGAGAGCAGCUCAGAAAGUUUGCUGCAUCAUCUUCAUAGAGUUCAGUGUAUAGGAACCACAGCAAGAUUACUAUCUCUUUCCUGAUCUCAAUCAAAGAGAUGACUUAGUUUUUGGUGUUAAUUCAUUCAUUUGUAAAGAUUCUUCAGAUUGGAGAUGCCCAACCUAGAUUUGGCUUUUUUGUUGUUGUUUUCUUUUAAACACAUGUUCCUUGUACCUAUCCAGUGGAAGAGAUGGGUUGCCUGUUGUUGCCCUGGCCCUGUGGGACUCUGCUGUUUGACUGGGCCUCUUGAAUUCCAUUAAAUGAAGCACAGACAGCAUGUGUCAUAAAGGCUGCUUGGGAAGGGUGAAGAGCAAAAUUAGUGUCUGUGGGUGGCCAUGUGUUCUCAUCACGUCGCCAGAGAACUGCAAUGUGCAAAAUCUGGCAGGAACCUGUUCCAAAGAAAAAUAAAACAGCCCCUUUUUUCCUGCUUUGAGUAAUAUUAAAGAACAUCGCUAACCCCCAUGUAGAAGAAAUGGAACUAUUAGGAAAUUCUUAUGAUUAUGUGUGUGUGUGUUUAAUAAUCUGUGUAUUUAGUCUUUAAAACUGAGGUUAGAAUAGAAGGGAUGAAAAGGGACUAGUCAUGAAUAUUGUGGGGUAUUCUGUUGCUGAUGUUGUAUACAUAGUAAGUAUUCUAUUAGAGUACAAAUGUCUGAGGAUUAGAGGAAUUUGUCAGAGCUAACAAUUCAGGGGAAAUCUAUUUUCUUUAACUUUUUCUGUCCUUCUUUGAAAUGAUUUUAUAAGAAAAGCCAUUUUUAUCUCAGUAAAACCAGUAUCAAAGGAAAUGUUUGCGUUUUUCUUAUGUAUGAUUUGCCCGGUACCCUCAGGAACAAAGCAAAGCUGACAUUUACACUUAUAUUUGAAUCAUAAGAUCUUCCUUUUAUAGUUUCCUUGAGAAGGUCUUGCAUAUUUGUUAAUUGCUUCCCAUAGUGUAGAAGAAUGUUUCUUAAAGGAGGGUUGUGAUGGAUGUAGUUUGCAAAGUGGGGACAUAUGUUACUUUUAUAAUUAAGGGAAAGUUAACUUUUUAAAUAGUAGUAAUGUUUACUCCUUUUUUCUUUUAAAAAAAAUUUUUUAAAUAAAAAUAGAGAUCUCACAGUGUUGCUUAAGCGAUCCUCCUGCCUUGGCCUCCCAAAGUGAAUGUUUACUUCUUAAGGACUGCAGAAAUAUUCCUAAGCUAAACCCAAAAUUUCUAAAUUUGGGGUUCUUUACCUAUUUCAAGUAGCCUCUCUUUGUUUCACAGAUUAUCUUUUUAUUGUGGUAAAAAACAUAUAACAUAGAAUAUGUCAUCUUGACUUAGAAUAUAUCAUCGUAGAAUAUAUCAUCUGUACAUUUUUAAGUGUAUAGUACAGUAGUGUUAACUAUAUUCAAGUUUGUAUGACAGAUCUCUAGAACAUUUUCACCUUCCAAAACUGAAAUUCUUUACCAAUUAAAUAACAACUCACUCCCCUCCCCAGCCCCCAGCCUCUGGCAACCACUAUUCUCCUUUCUGUUUCUAGGACUUUGACUAGUCACAUUGAGAUAGCUGGUGUAAGCGGAACAAAUCAUGUGGUAUUUCUUUUUGUGACUGACGUUUCACUUAGUGCAGUAUCCUCAAGAUUCAGCCAAGUUAGAGCAUAUGACAAGGUUUCCUUCUUUUUUUUUUUUUUUAAGGCUGAAUAAUCCCAUUGUAUAUAUGUACCACAAGUAUUAAGGUUAAUUCCUUAUAUGUAAACACACAAGGAAAAGUUAACACAAGAGCUUCCAUAUACAAGCAACUCACUGUUGGUUGUGUAGCAGUUUUCAGUGGGGAUGGCAUAUCCAUGGUGCUUUCAGUGACUGUGACUUUCCUAGAGAAUGGAAGAGUAUGAAGUUAGUCCUGAGAGGUGGCUGAAGCACACUAGUGAGUGAAAUGAGCCAAGAGUUGUUCUUCUUGACCAACAUUAAGUCAGGGACCCUUUUAUUCUGUUUUGAUACCAAGUGGCAGCCUCAUGGCGGGUUUCUAACAGCAUGGCUUCAGGGUCGUGUGAUUGCGUCUGGUUGGCCAGGCAUACUUCCACCUGUCAGUAAAGCUCUCUGGUGGAAGAAGUUGGCAGUAGCCACUUGGUUGUCCUGUCUUGGGCGGUGGUCUUUAACUACUGCAGACAGAAUGACUGAAAGCUUGGUUAGCUCCCUGCUGCAAACAUGUUAGUGAUGGCCAGGAAAGCCCAACUUCAGCAGUUCAGCCACCCAGGGUUUCAGUUAUCUGUGAAAAUCAUGAGUCUUGAAAUAUAAUGCCUUCUAGUACCUCCACAAGCUGGUUGACUUUGGGAGGUGGAGACGGCUCUAGUAUUUCCUGGAGGCUCUUUCUGAAUCAAGUAACUUCAAACUACACUACUCCCUUAUAAAUGAAAAAAUAUUUUAAGACUAAACGUGUUAAAACUAUGAGCAAGCUUGGUAGCUAGAUGGCCUUUACAUUAUCCUUGCUGCCUAGUUCUUUUAUGUCAGGAAAGUAACACGGGAAAUAUGUGUACUGAGUGGAUGGCUCUGUCCACUCAGAAGGAAAUUGCCCUUGUAAGACAAAUCCUGUCCUUCUGUGUAGUCAACGAGUCAAGACUCCACUGCAUCAUGAUUAUAUCCUAUGAGCCUGACACUUGCCUUAAUUGCUCACCAACAGUCAUUGUGACCCUAAAAGGAAAGAAUUUCCUCAGUGAUACUCAAGUUGGGAUUUGUAAAAUAGCAUCAGUACAGAUCUUUUUAGAGCCAUUCAAGAUUCAGUGGUGCCACAUUCUGAGGAUCUCCAAAAUGAAGCCUAAAUCAGAAGUUUAAGAAUUCCUCCUUCUUACCUUUUCUCCCUCCCCACCCCUACCACCUCACCCCCCAGCCCCCAAAUUGGAAAACCCUUGGCCAAAAAAACCAGCAAGAGCAGAGCAGAACUGGCCUUUACUGCUGGCAGUGGGGAAAGAGGCUUCCGUCAAGGAGACUGUUAGUAAGCACUUGAAACAUUUGGGAAUAUUUUUACACGUUGAUUAGGCUUUCAUGGGCUGGACUGGAAACCCCGUUGCUCACCAUUUUAUGUUUUUCCUGUAGGGAAGGUAUACUCCAAUUUCAAAUAACUGAUUUAUUUACUUUUGGACCAGAAAUUAUUUGUCUCAUUGAAGCAACUUAAAUCUAAGUUGCAACUUGAUGUGCACUAGUUGCUUUAUCAAAUGUCUAUAAGAAAUGUCUUUCUCUAUUUUUAAGCUGAACAAUUGCUUUGUUACCUUUUCCUAACAUUUUCUCCUUUUCACUCUGAAUGUAGUAAAGAUUGGGGCUGGGGAGUUCAUCUUGAGUCAAUGAUAAGGCAGAUAGAAUGAACUGUUUGGGAGAAAAUGGGCAGAUCUCUUUUCUUGGUCUACAUUUGUUUCAUAAAUAUGUCUUGGGGUUUUUCUUCCAUGUGGCUAAAGAGAAUCUCACAUUUGUGGAUGCAUAAACCCAGCUAGAUGACCAGGUUGUACCUUUCUUUUUUUCCCCCAGAGGAGCUUAUUAAACUUAUUAAAAUUCAAUUUUCAUCAUUUUCUUGCUUUUGCAAAGUACUUGGAUAAAUCAGUUUCAUUCCUGGAAACUUUAUGGUUGUGUAAUAACACUUGUACUGAGAGAACAUAUCUGUUAGUUUAUCAUGGUUUCAGGUCUUUGUGGUUUCAGGUUUUUUUCUCUACUCAAAAUAUAUUUUCAGUUGCAUUUUACAGCUGAAAGUUUUCUGAUCUGCUUUUGUAGGAUGUUUUAGUGGCUUAAGUUUGCUAAGCCCUCUGCCACAACUGAAAGAGUUUAAGGCCAUUUUUUUUAAAAAACACAAAGCAUAAAAAGGCACCAAAGUUGAGAGGGCCUCAAGAGUCAGUGGGGGUCCCUACUUCUCAUUUUACACAUAAGGAAACUGAAGCUCAAUAAGAGAGUUUGGGGUACCUCACUUAGUUGUGAGAAGAUGUGUAACGGAGGUUAGGUCUCCUGUCCUGACUUAGGGUACUCGUUAUAGCAACAGAUCCAAAAAGCAACUGCCUCUGUUGGUGUGAAACUUUGGCAGGAUGAGUAGGAUUUCUCUGCCCCACCCUCCAUCUAGCUCUGUGAUUUUUUUCAUGUAGCUGUGUUGCCAGUGAUAUCUCUUCAUUUCUCCUUAGAAUUCUUUUCACAAUCAGUUGCCUAUCCAGUAAAUUUCAAGGGACCAAUAUAAGGAAUAACUUAUUUAUCCUCCAGAGCACCUAACUCCAAUAUGGGCACUUUUGCCACAACAGGAGGUCCUUUCAAAAGUGUGGGCAGGGGGUGGUCACAGAGGCUGAUCUUAGUCUUUUAUCUGUCCCUAAUGUCAGUGACCUUGAACAAGUCCCCUCUGCAGUCUGGACUUUUAAUUUUUCCAUGUGAGAGAGGAGUCUAGCGUAGAUGGUUUCCACAAUUCUUUAUAUUAAUAGCUUAAAAUGUGUAACUAACAUGAAAACCUAAACUCUGCCUUCAGGUCGACCUCUAUUCCACUCUCCAGGUGGGAAAUGAUGCCACCCAGCAUGCUUCAGGGAGAACAGGUGCCUUGACCGUGUGUUGUUUGUUUCUCUGUGUGUUUAGCUUUCCAUCUCUUAUGAGGGAGGUGACAGAAUCCUAGAACAAAAAGGAACUAAAUGAGUUAGUAAUUCUUGCCAUCUGAGAGGGCGUCCAUUUUCAGUGGAUCUGUGGGAAUACAACAGGCUCUUGAAAAUCCUGUCAACUUAUUGCUAGCAUGAUCUGCUGAUUUCUCUUCCUCCUCUAUGGAUAAAAUUAUCACCUCUUUUUAUUUGAAACAGGUCUUAUUGAGGGCUGGCUUAUAAAGGAUUUUGUGGAUUUAGAAUUUGAUAUUAACAUAGUUUGGUAAAGUCAUUUCCUGACAUUUGAUUAGAUUUGUUUUGGGGUAGAGGGCAGGUGGUAGAUAGCAGGUAAAGGGAAAAAAAAAAAAAAGGAGGGAACUUUGUCCUGAAUAGCAGAAAGAAAAG